rnacentral:rRNA from 1 species
ACGCUGGCGGCGUGCCUAAUACAUGCAAGUCGAGCGCGGGAAGCUCAUCAAUCAUCCUUCGGGGUGACUGUUGAGUGGAACGAGCGGCGGAUGGGUGAGUAACACGUGGGCAACCUGCCUGUAAGCUUGGGAUAACUCGUGGAAACGCGAGCUAAUACCGAAUGAAAAGUUUGUUCGCAUGAACAGACGGUGAAAGAUGGCUUUUGCUGUCACUUACAGAUGGGCCCGCGUCGCAUUAGCUAGUUGGUGGGGUAAAAGCUCACCAAAGCAACGAUGCGUAGCCGACCUGAGAGGGUGAUCGGCCACACUGGGACUGAGACACGGCCCAGACUCCUACGGGAGGCAGCAGUAGGGAAUCUUCCGCAAUGGACGAAAGUCUGACGGAGCGACGCCCGCGUGAGUGAUGAAGGUCUUCGGAUCGUAAAACUCUGUUGUCGGGGAAGAACAAGUAUCGGCCUAAUACGCCGGUACCUUGACGGUACCUGAUUAGAAAGCCCCGGCUAACUACGUGCCAGCCGCCGC